CUCCUUCUCCAGACCAAACGCCUCCUUCAGCAAGGCCGCUACAGCAGCAGUUGUACAGGUGUCAGCGCCCUCUGGAACUCCGACUAUCCUAACGUUAUUGCGCCGUGACCUCGACUCCAAAUCCUCACAUUUAUUCUCCAACUCGCACUCUACAGUCGCAGUGAGAGACUCGAUAGUAGUCUUCAUCUGAGCUAUGGCAUCGGUGCAACCGGAGAGCGCGUGAUCCAUUUCCUCAACAGUACCUUUCAGUGUUGAUAUGGUAGCAUCGGUAGCAACUUUAUCACUAACCAGCGGUGUCUUCACGGCCUGCAUCAAGCUGGAUAGUAGCCAGCGCACCCCGAGAGUCUCCUGGAGCUCCUUUUUAAAAAUAUCUGCAAUGUCUGUCCUCAGCGAAGCCAGCAACUCGAGCCUGAGGGCGGCGAAGUCAGGGUCGACGCGCGGCAAGGCGGAUUCAGGGGAACGAGGCGACUCACUCAAGGCAGUGGUCGUGGCGCGUACACUAGGACUCAGUUGUGUCUGAAUGGUACUACAAGUUCUCAUCUUUUUUCCAGACAUUUUAACGUCGUUCAAAGUUAAACGUGCAAACAAAAACCUAGUAGAGUAAGUCAAAAUCAAAUGUAUGGCUGAAAAGCGCAAGUUAAUUACAGUUUUAAUCAGAAACAGCAGGAGCCUCCUGUUCCAUGUUACUCCACUGGCAGCUCGGCAGCGCCCCGAAAUUUUUCGUUUCAGACAACUCAUCUGUCGUAUAGUUCCACGUUUAAUAAACAUUUAAAAUCCAUCGUUUUGACCCAAAAUGUUUUUGAAAGGUAACCACUUAACCUCAUGAACUCCACGAACCUGCUCAUGAAUCCAGUUUUGCAUUGUUUUCUUCUCAUAACUUUUGUAUUAGUUUCAGGAUCUCAUCAGAGUCAUCAGUCUCCGAACUCUCGUUAAAGUUAUAAGGCUAACGGUAAUACUCAGGACAGGGUUAGAGUUCUCUAGUCAAAUCCAUAAACCCAAGGGCUUUUGGGAAAUCAAUCAUUCCUUCACAUAAAUGUCUAUCUGCAAGGUUCCAGGGAGAAAAACCAGAUGAGUUCAUGGAUUUAUUAUCUGCUGCAGGAUGUCAUGAAUAAUUACUGAGGAAACCACUGAAUCCAUCAAGCUGAGGGAAAUGAACAGCAAAAAAAAUGGACUUUUGUUUCCAGGGAAUCGAUCGGGCACGUCGGUUUUCGUGACAAACUCGUCAUGACGACUGAGCCGUAAUGAGAGUAUCAUAAACCUGGAUGAUUGUGUAAGUAGACUGUGUGCUGGUAGAAUCAGAUGAAAAUAGAUAGAGUGGAAAAAAAAAUUACAAUAGCGAUAGCAGACGAUUACGGACCGAAUGUACUGAGGUGCAGCAAAGGGUUAAAGUGAGACUUAAUGAUUCUUAAAAACUUGGAGAGGGUACAGCUGUGAGUUUUCUGAUUGUAUCUGCAGUGUGAUGGAUAGCAAGGACCGAAAUCAUGGUCACUGCAUUACAGAAACAGUCAUGUCCACAGGAAAAAUAGUAAGAGCCAAUAACAUUUCAUCUUAACAGAUCUAUAUUUGAUAGAUAUCAUAUAGGUAUUAUAGAGGUCAUAAUGCAUUAUAUAGGUAGCAUAUAGCUCAUAAUGCAUUAUAUAGGUAGCAUAUAGGUCAUAAUGCAUUAUAUAGGUAUCAUAGAGGUAAUAAUGAAUUAUAUAGAUAUCAUAGAGGUAAUAAUGCAUUAUAUAGGUAUCAUAGAGGUCAUAAUGCAUUAUAUAGGUAUCAUAGAGGUAAUAAUGCAUUAUAUAGAUAUCAUAGAGGUAGCAUAGAGGUAAUAAUGAAUUAUAUAGAUAUCAUAGAGGUCAUAAUGCAUUAUAUAGAUAUCAUAGAGGUCAUAAUGCAUUUAUAG
ensembl:lncRNA